rnacentral:lncRNA from 1 species
AGAUCUCUACACGUUGAUCCUGAGAUAGGUAGUCGUUCAUCUCCAGUAUACACUUUCUUGUAUCCCUGAAAGGCUCUGGAACUGCAUUUUCUUCUUGAGCAACAAAUCCAUACCAUAAGGUGUUAUCGUAAGCAAUUAUUCCUCCAAUCUUAACUAAUUUCAGCAAUUGCUCAUGGUAAUUUUUGUAAUUGUGCUUAUCAGCAUCUACAAAUGCCAUGUCAAAUUCUUCUUUCUCCUGUUCCUGUUGUAAAUAUACAGAAAAAAAACACUAAAACAAAUAAAAUCCUAAUGUAGAUAUAUUUAGGCAAAACAUUUUAUGAAAGUAUGCAUACAUUGUUUAACAUUUCACUUAAUACUGAAGUAGCAUUAGAGUGAAUGAAAUUGAUUUUGUGCUCAACGCCUGCCUUGCGAAUGAAUGGUAAUCCAAAUUCAUAAGCUUCUUGAUCAAUGUCUAUUGCUGUUAUCUGUUCACAAAAUUUUUCAGCAGACCAAGGUUAAUUCUUCAUUUAAAAGGGAGGGAGAAAAAAAAAAGCCAGGUUUAUGCAGAACUGUAGAUAGGAACUCCAAAAUGAAUUAGUCCCAUACCAAAAAAAGGCGAAAAAAAGUAAGAAGAGUAUAUAAAUUACUCGGCCGUCAUGAGGCAAGGCAAGAGCAGUUGAAAGAAGAGAAUAGCCAGUAAAAACACCAAUCUCUAUUGUCCUUUUCGCGUUCAUCAUCUUCACAAGCAUUGAUAGGAACUGCCCUUCAUCAGCUGGUACUGACAUUAAGCUCCUACAAUUCAAAUUUUUUCAAACAUUUGUAAACUUUUCUAAUAUUUAUUGAUCAUAUAUAUAGUAAUUACUUACAGGUUUCCAUAUUUGUUCUCUGUAGCUUUUCGUAAAUUCUUGAGUUCCUCGUGCUCUCUUGGAUAUACACUUUUUUCAUAGAUAUACUGUAACAAAAUUUCAUAACUUUCAAAAAACAUUCAAUGGACAUAAUUCGAGUGCUUAAUGUCUUUUUCUCUAGAUAUACAAGUAACUAAUGCAAUUUAAAAUGCUUAAUUGCUGCGGUGAAGAUAAAUAAUUAAUUGCUUCGCAAUUAUUAAUUGAGCAGAGAUAAAAAGGAAGAAAAUAAAUCAGAGAUCAACCGACGAAACAAACUUUCUUAUAUAUAUAUAUAUAUAUAAACCUUCAAGAGAGCUUCGCUCUGGAGGAUUCCUUUACGAGGUAAACUAUACGCCAUGCCUGACGACUUCUUCUUCUUCCUCUUCUUCUUCUUCUUCUUCUUUUAACUUUGAUUUUAAAUCUAGUUUUGUAUCUCUUUUGCAUUAACACCGCGUGUCGUCUGCAUGCGCAAAUAAAGGAAAAUGAAAUCCGCCACAUGUGAAAGAAUGCAGCUCACGCCAAACGCCAAAAUUGGUAAAGUGUACAACACAGAAAACCUGAAUUCGGUUGGAGUGGGGCCUCCAAAUUUCAAUUCGCGUCAAGGCGGAAAUACCCAUCACCUCCUCUUCUCUAUUCAUGGAGAGUGUUAAGCCGGAUUAUGUUUUUUUAAAAUUUGUAACGGAUAAUUUUAUACAGUAAAUUAUAUCAAAUAUAGACAUAAAUAUGAAUAAUAUAAAAAAAUUCAAUUUUUUUAUUAUCUGAUAUAUCUUCUUUAAAAUGAGUUUUUAAAAAUUUCAUAUAAUUUUUUUAUUCCAAAACAAACUAAAAGAAUGAAAAAAAUGAAAUAAGUUAUAUGAUAAUAUAAAGUAACAAGAAUAGUUUAGAUAGCUCACUAUAAUAAAUUAUUAAAAAAUCAUUGAUUCAAAAAUUUGACUGGUAAAAAAUAUAAUUUGAAAGGCUGAAAUAGUAAAAUAGAUAAAAUUUAGACAGUAAAUUCAUAAUUAUCCAUUUGUGUCCAAUUGAUCUUGGACUGCCACAAAUUUUGUAUGGUUAAAAUAAAUUAUAAUUUUCAUUUUAAUCGGACCUAGCAAUUGGCAAUAUUAUUCUUUUAUUUACAAAUAAAUCAAAUCAAGUUGGUAUAAUUAUACUCCGCUUGAUCCUCAAUUUGAUGGAUCUACCGUAUUCAGAUUAUAGUUAUUAAAAUCCGAAUUUAGAUCAUAUAAUUUUGUAGUUUUACUAUGAAAUUUAAUUAAUUAAUUUAAUGUUAGAAAGAAUUUUUUCUCUAUUAGAAUUAUAAAAUCUUCACAAACCAGAGAAUAAUAACAACUUGAGCUCAAGAUCAUUAGGAUCGUAUAAAAUCUUAUAAGAUUGCCGUUGAAUUAGGAUUGUACGUAAUUAAAGUUGACCACUUUUCCAAAAUGGUAUUUAAAAAUUAUUUGCAUCAAUGGUGUUGUUCUGAAUUGUUACACUGUGGCAAUUUAUGUAUCUUAACAAAUGAAUUGUUACACUGGCAAUUUUUUAAGACUGUCUGACUCUCUUUAAAUAGUGGUUCCGUUUUUUUUUUUUUUUUUUCCCUGCUAUUAGCAGCAAGCAGGGUUAAAAUAGAAAAAUAAAAUUGAACAAAACCAAUCUAAUUUAAUUUUUCAUUUCGGCUAUUGAAGUUGAUGGAUUUGAUUUAUCUUAAGGUUUUAGAUAAUUUUAAUUUUUAAUUUUUAAUUCGGUUAUAAAAAAUAAGUUCAAUUCGCUAAAAAAUAUUUGUACAUUCAUAUACCGGAUCAUAAUAUAUAUCAUCUUUAUUUUACAAUCAACGAAUUCUAUUUCCAUUGCAAGUAUUUAUUGCUGAAAAUCAACGAAAUCCAAUGCUAUUUAUAAUUUUAUUUUAUGGAUAAUAAUAACAAAACACCAUCUAUCAUGUCAAAUGUAAUAAACAAACUUUAAAUAGCAAUGCAAAAUGAUAUUAAAUUCUCAAUAGAGACGCCUACAGAGAGUAACACCGUCGCCAAUAGAAACUUGCGAGAUCUCUACACGUUGAUCCCGAGACAGGUAGUCAUUGAGUUCCUGUAUAGCUUUUGUCCAGUCCCUGAAAGGCUCUGGAACUUCAUUUUCUUCUUGAGCUACAAACCCAUGCCAUAAGGUGUUAUCAUAAGCAAUUAUCCCUCCAACCUUAACUAAUUUCAACAACUGCUCAUGGUAAUUUUUGUAAUUGUGCUUAUCUGCAUCUACAAAUGCUAUGUCAAAUUCUUCUCUCUCAUUUUCCUGUUGUGUAAGACCAAAAACAAAAUAAAUAAAUUCCUAAUAUAGAUGUAAUUAGGCUAAAAUUUUCUGGAGUAUGCUUACGUACAUUGUUUAGCAUUUUGGUUAAUACGGAAAUAGCAUCAGAUUGAAUGAAAUUUAUUUUGUGCUCGACGCCUGCCUUGCGGAUGAAUGGUGCUCCAACUUCAUAAGCUUCUUUAUCAAUGUCUAUAGCUGUUAUCUGUUCACAAAAUUUCUCAGCAGAUCAAGGUUUUUUCACUAAAAGUAGAAAAAGAAAAGAUAAAAGUAAUAAGAGUAUAUAAAUUACCCGGCCAUCAUGAGGCAAGGCAAGUGCAGUUGAAAGAAGGGAAUAGCCAGUAAAAACACCGAUCUCUAUCGUCCUUUUGGCGUUCAUAAUCUUAACAAGCAUUGAUAGGAAUUGCCCUUCAUCAGCUGGUACUGACAUUAUGCUCCUGCAAUCGGAAUUUUCAAAAAAAUUAGAAACUGUUCUAAUAUUUAUGGAAUAUAUGGAAAUUAAUUACUUACCUGUUUCCAUAUUUGUUCUCAGUAGCUUUUCGUAAAUUCUUGAGUUCCUCGUGCUCUCUUGGAUAUGCACUUGUUUCAUAGAUAUACUGUAACAAAAUUUCUAAACUUUUAAAACAUUAAAAAAACAUAAUUCGAGUUCUUAAUAUCUUUUUCUCUGUGGUGAGUAUUAGUAAUUAAUUCCUUCGCAGAGAUAAAAAAGAAGAAAAAGAAAAAAGAGAACCAAUGGAAACACAUAUAUAGUUCUCAAGGAGAGAAAUUGCAGGGUUGAGAAAUAUAUUAUAUACGAAUGACCUUCUUCAGAGCUUCGCUCUGCAGGAUUCCUUCAGGAGGUAAAACAUUCGCCAUGCCUCACUUUCUUCUUCUUCUCACUUUAACAAAAAUGCAGGCAAUUAAUAUAUAUUGGAAUGUUCCUAAUGAUUUACUGAGUGGUGUGAAGCUUAUGUGAUAUAUUUAUUGAUAGUAGAGUGUUUUCCUAAAAGUCAGGUUUAAAUCUCAACAAACAUUUUCUUAUUUUUUUUUCAUUGGAAUUUCAUUUUUUUUUUCUGAAAUAUUAUGAUUAUAAUUUAUUUAAACAGAUAAAGUACUUAUCUAAUUUUUUUUAUCGAUAAAUUUAUAUUUUUUUUAUCUUUUCAUAAAUUUAAAUUCAAAUAUAAAAUUUCCGAAAACAAAUUCAAAUAUAAUUUAAUUUUUUUUUUUUUUUUGAAAAGGCACUAACAAUAUUAUUAAUGAAUCAUCUCAGCAAUUUAGAGAGAGAUACAAAUCUGAGUAGAGUUAUAAGAAUAAACUGUUAUUUGUGGUUUUAAGGUUUAAUCAAAUAAAUCAUUUAAAUUUUUAAUAGGAAGUAAAAGUGACUAAUUUUGUGUCUGUUGAGAUACAACGAGAUUUAUGACAUCAUAUAUAUAUAUUUUUUGAUAUUGUUCUUAUUCUUUUUUUUUUUUUUUUUUUUGAAAUGGUUGUUAUUCAAAUUUAAGCAAUUAAUAGAGGCAAAAUUUACGUUUUUUUCAAAAAAAUUAAAAUUAAAAUUUUAAAUUUUAAAUUUUAAAUUGAGAAAUUAUUUUCUUUUUUUUAAAAAAAAAACAGUUUAGAACAAAUCAUUCUCACAUUGUAAAAUCUGCCAAGGAAUCAAGAAGAAGAAAAAGAGUCAGUAAAUGACAACGGCUAACUGAGAAAACUGAGAGAUUGUUUCAUUGUUUGCGAGAAUACUUAGAUUUUGAGAAAAUUAAAAUUCUACCAAUAUAUAUAUAUAUAUAUAUAUAUAUAGGAAAUUUCUACUAAUAUAUGAAUAAACAUUUUAAAUUUUAAACUUUUACUUACUCUUGAGCCAAAAUCACAUUAAUUUAAAAAAUUAUUAAAUAACUGCUUUUUAAAUAUUAAGAAAAAAUAAUAAGUAAUCUAAAAGAAGAAUAAAUAAUUUUUAAAUAGCUGUAACGGCUUUGCUUAAAAAUUUGAACUAUUUUUUUUUUCUAAAAGAAAAUUCACAUAAUAUCUUUUUGCAGUUUCCUACUGAUCCAUGCACAAAUACAAGUAGAUAAAAAGCGUGCAGGAUUCCUUGCAAAUUGAACCUUUUCUUGAGAAAUAUUAUUGUGAAUCCUAGUGAAACAAAUUGCUCUUAUAUUCAUUGGUUAAGACGAAAUAAAGCAGUUCUUUCAGCUGAAAUUGUAGAUGCUUUGAAAUGCUUUGCCUAUCGUUGAAAUUAUUAAAUUUAAGAAUAGAAAUUUGCAUACCAAUUUUUCAGAUUGGGCUUCGUUUCCCCUUAUUGUUUAUGACAGUUUGCAUGGUCCAAAUGGGAAUUUGCAUCCUGAUCAUGAUUUGAUUGGUUGCGUUACACCUUUGCCUGGUUUUUUCAAAUUUAAUGGAGAUGGUUCAGCACUUGGUGAACUGGGUCCAAGUAUGAAUGGGUGUUUUGAAAAAUUCAUUAGGUGAAGUUUGUCUGCAUUCUAUAAAAAAGUUGAAAUUUUGGAUUCUAAUGAAGUUGAGAUUCUUGCCACUUUUGAAGCUAUUCAAAAUUUUGCUUCUUCUGUACUGGAUGUUACAUGAAAAUAAGCGACUCUGGACAUGGUAAAAAAGUUUUAAUAAAAUGGAAGCUCUCGAUUAUUUAUAGUUAUUUUUAUUUCGUGUUUACUUAAUUGUAAGUGAGUUUUUUAAAGUUAUUUUACAUCUCUUUUUCUUCUCCAUGGAAAAGGAGAGGUUUCCAAGAUCAAGUUGUAUUGUUUUUGUCAGGUUUUUAUUUAAUAUUUCCAGGCUAGUUAUGGGUAUAUUAAGGAAGCCUAUUGGCUUGGAAUAAUUUUUUCUGAUUUUUUAAAUUCUAAUAAAAUUUUGUUGCUGAAAAGAAAAAAUGAUAAAAAAGAUAACCUCACGAGGACACGGAGACGGGAUGGGUUCCCCAAAUUUCAAUUCAGCUUCUUCCAACUUCCAUAAAAGCAUGGGAGGUGUCGGUGGCUCCCCAUUAUUUGUGUUAGUAUAAUUAUAAACUCACUCCCCUGAAAAGAUAAAUUUAUCUCAUAUUGAAAAUAUAUAAGAUCACAAAACCUAUAUCAUUUUAUAUAGGUAACCCUAAUUCAUAUAAACUCAAAUUAUUGAAUGAAUUAUUAAUUGAAUUUGAUAAAUUACCCUUAGGGCGCAAAUUUAACAAUUUAUGUAUAUUUUAGCAAAUUUUUUUGUCGAAAUAUUAAAAUGAAUAAUUUUAAUUCAUACAUAAGUUGCAGUCCACUAAUAAAUCCAUAGAGCCAACACAUGAAUAAUUGAAAUCAUCAUAAUAUUUAUAUUUCAACCAAAUUUUAGAUUUGAUAUUACUACUAUUAGAAUAUGUUUAUAAUUUGUGAAACCUAUUUUAAAUUAAUUUUGCUGAAUUUUUGAAGAAUUUAUUUAACUCAUAGAGUCAUUUUGAAUCUGUAUUCAAUCUAAUCGUUACAUUCUCAAUAAAACACCAUCUAUCAUGUUUUACAGCUGCAACAGAGACAAAAUCUAUAUAUACGCCAUGUAACUAUGGUAGAAACAUUCUCAAUAGAGACGCCUACAGAGAGUAACACCGUCGCCAAUAGAAACUUGCGAGAUCUCUACACGUUGAUCCCGACACAGGUACUCAUUGAGUUCCUGUAUAGCCUUUGUCCGGUGCCUGAAAGGCUCUGGAACUUCAUUUGCUUCUUGAGCUACAAAUCCAUAACACAAGGUGUUAUCGUAAGCAAUUAUUCCUCCAACCUUAGCUAAUUUCAACAAUGGCUCAUGGUAAUUUUUGUAAUUGUGCUUAUCAGCAUCUACAAAUGCAAUGUCAAAUUCUUCUCUCUCCUUUUCCUGUUGUGUAAAAAAAAAAAAGAAAGAACAAAAUAAAUAAAAUCCUAAUAUAUAUACAAUUAGGCUAAAAUUUUCUGGAAGUAUGCUUACAUUACUUAACAUUUCGGUUAAUACUGAAAUAGCAUCAGACUGAAUGAAAUUUAUUUUGUGCUCGACGCCUGCCUUGCGGAUGAAUGGUACUCCAACUUCAUAAGCUUCUUUAUCAAUGUCUAUAGCUGUUAUCUGUUCACAAAUUUUCUCAGCAGAUCAAGGUUUUUUCACUAAAAGUAGAAAAAGAAAAGAUAAAAGGAAGAAGAGUAUAUAAAUUACCCGGCCAUCAUGAGGCAAGGCAAGUGCAGUUGAAAGAAGAGAAUAGCCAGUAAAAACACCGAUCUCUAUCGUCCUUUUGGCGUUCAUAAUCUUCACAAGCAUUGAUAGGAAUUGCCCUUCAUCAGCUGGUAUUGAAAUUUUGCUCCUGCAAUUCAUAUUUUCAAAAAAAUUAGAAAGUUUUCUAAUAUUUAUGGAAUAUAUGGAAAUUAAUUACUUACCUCUUUCCAUAUUUGUUCUCAGUAGCUUUUCGUAAAUUCUUGAGUUCCUCGUGCUCUCUUGGAUAUGCACUUGUUUCAUAGAUAUACUGUAACAAAAUUUCUAAAUUUUUAAUACAUUAAAAGGACAUAAUUCGAGUUCUUAAUACAUUUUUUCUCUGUGGUCAAUAUUAAUAAUCAAUUCCUUCGUUGAGAUAAAAAAGAAGAAAAAGAAAAAACAGAAAUUGCAGUGUUGAGAUAUAUAUUAAAUACAAAUAACCUUCUGUAGAGCUUGGCUCUGGAGGAUUCCUUUCGGAGGUAAAGCAUUCGCCAUGCCUGACUUGCUUCUUCUUCUCACUUUAACAAAAGUGCAGCAAUAUAUAUUUGAAUGUUCAUAAUGAUUUUUUGUGUGAUGUGAAACAUAUGUUGGUUGCUCGUGAGAUAUUUAUUGACAGUUGAGUUAUACCAAGCAGCUUUACGCCAAACGCCAAAAUUAGUGAGUUAUACAAACAGAGCCUCAUGGGGACAUGGGUUUGACGGAGUGGGUUCUCCAAAUGUCAAUUCAGCCUUUUUCCAACUACCAAACAAGCAUUGCCAGCGGCCGCAGAGCUAAAAAUAUCUACCGGUCAGAUCAUUUUAUUUAAUUUGAUUUUUUAGUGGUUAAUUAGAUUAAAAAUUUUAAAAGUUUUUCACUUAAUAUAUAUAUAUAUAUAUAUAAAAUUUUUUUUAUCAAUUUAAUCACGUUUUAUAAAUAUUUUUUAAAAAAUUGAGUGAGAUCAACUAACCCUACUUCACAUAGCGGGGUGCUGUCCUGAUGGGGAGGUGUUGGCUGGCUUCUCAUCAUUUGUUAGGCUGCAUUCGACAAAAACUUUUUAAAACUCCAUUCGGUAAUAACAUUUGAGGGAGAGUUUAGAAUUUUGAAUGUGUCAAAACACUAUUUUUAUAAAUUAUAUCAUUCAGUUGUUAGUGAAUAAUAUAUCUUUAUUGAAAUAUUAAUACAUGUAAGAGUUUCCAUUUUUUUAUUAAAUUUUUUUGACAAUUAUGUCCUUAAUUAACUCAUAUUAUCCUUAUCCUUAAUUAACUUAUAUUAUCCUUAUAUUAACAUUAGUUUAAAGUGUUUUGCUAUAUAACACUACAAAUCUGCAAUUAAGUUAAAAAAUUACAUUAUUUUACACAAAAAUUUAAACAAAAUAAUUUAAUAAUGAAUUAACAGAGAAAUACGUGAGGGAAUUGUAUUAUCAUUUUAAAGUGAUAAUGAUUUCAAUUUAUCUAAUUGGACUAUACAUAAAUUGACAUUUUUUUUUUAUAAUGAGUCAACUACUGUAUUCAUAAGUUAAAAUUCAAACUUAAUAUUUAAAUGUCUCUUUUUAUCAUUUUAAAUUCAAUAUCUAAUUAAAUAACUAUUUUUACCGAAUACUUUUACUCUAAACAGUUAUAUAAACAACUAAUAUCCAACAGCUAACAGUUUUUAAAACAGUUAACAGCUCGUAAGACCGCUAACAACUAUUAAAGUAUUGUCGAACAAGCUCUAAGUAGCUUAUUAAAAUAUUAAACCCUAUUUUUUAUAGUUUUUGGUAACAUACGUUUAAAUUAGCUUUUAAAGAUUAAAACAACGUUUUAUACAAAAAUUAACUCAUAUAAUAUGUUAUGAAAAGUUGCUCAAACAGUUAAUAUGUAAACACUACUAAAAUGGCUAAAGAGCUAUCAAAACAACUAAACAGUUACCAAAACAAUUAAUUAACUCAUAAAUUUUUAGAAUUUAUUUUUUUUAUUUAUAUUGUUUAUGAUUUAUUUAAUUAACUCAUAGAUUCACGUUGAAACUGUAUUCAAUCUAACGCUUACGUAUUCAACCAAAGCAAAUAUUCGACCCAAAUGCAACCCUCUAAUGAUUUUAUUUUAUGGAUGAUAGUAAUAAAACACCAGUAUCUAUCAUUCUCAAUAGAGACGCCUGCAUAGAGUAACACCAUCACCAAUAGAAACUUGUGAGAUCUCUACACGUUGAUCCUGAGACAGGUAGUCGUUCACUUCUAGUAUAGCGUUUCUUGCGUCCCUGAAAGGCUCUGGAACUGUAUUUUCUUCUUCAACUACAAGUCCGAACAAUAAGGUGUUAUCAUAAGCAAUUAUUCCUCCAACCUUAACUAAUUUCAACAAUUGCUCAUGGUAAUUUUUGUAAUUUUCUUUGUCAGCAUCUACAAAUGCAAUGUCAUAUUCUUCUUUCUCGUUCUGCUGUUGUAUUCAAAAAAAAAAAAAAAAAAAAAAAAAAAAAACAUCAAAUCAAAUAAAACCUAAUAUAAAUAUAUAUAGUUAAGCUGAAAUUUUAAUACUUAUGUUAUUUACCAUUUUGGUUAAUGCUGAAAUAGCAUUAGAUUGAAUGAAUUUGAUUUUGUGCUCGACGCCUGCCUUGCGAAUGAAUGGUAAUCCAAAUUCAUAAGCUUCUUGAUUAAUGUCUAUUGCUGUUAUCUGUUCACAAAAUUUCUCAGCAGACCAAGAUUACUUUUUCAUUAGAGAGAGAGAGAGAGAGAGAGAGAGAGAGAGAGCAUGCUUAAAUUCUUGAAUUCUUUAGAAAAAAAAAGUUGCAUCCCGAAAAAUACUUACCGGAGAGGCAGCUACCAACCCUAAAACAAAAUUAUUCUCGUUCUAAAAAAUAAUGCGGAGAAAUUGAAGGGGUCGAAAGAGUAUAUAUUAUAAUUACCUGGCCAUCAUGAGGCAAGGCAAGGGCAGUGGAAAGAAGAGAAUAACCAGAAAAAACACCAAUCUCUAGUGUCCUUUUAGCGUUCAUUAUCUUCACAAGCAUUGAUAAGAAUUGACCUUCAUCAGCUGGUACUGCCAUCAUGCUCCUGCAAUUCAAAUUUCAAACAUUUAUAAAAUUUUCUAAUAUUUAUUGUGUAUAUAUACAUAUUAAUUACUCACAGGUUUCCAUAUUUGUUUUCUGUAGCUUCUCGCAAAUUCUUGAGUUGCUCAUGCUCUCUGGGAUAUACACUAGUUUCAUAGAUAUACUGUAACAAAAAUUUUUAAAUUUUGAAUACAUUAUACAGAUAGAUAUAACACAAUCUUCUCCAAAAAACAAUAUUUAAAAAACCUUCAUUAGAGCUUCACUCUGUAGGAUUUCUUUAGGAGGUAAAAUGGGCACCAUGCUAACUACUACAGUAGUACUACUACUUUUUAACUUCAACAAAAAUGCAGUAAUAUAUUGGAAAGCUCCUACAAAUUUAUGGGUGUGAAAGCAUAUUUUCGAUUGAUGGGGACAAGACUUGCUUAAAAGGUAGGUUAGUUUAAACCUCAAAAAUCAUUUUUCUUUAAAAGAGUUGAGUUUCAAAAGAAUUAAACAUUCUAUUAAUAAUAUUUUCAAAAAAAAAAUUCUAAUAAUAAUAAUAAUAUAUGAAAAGAGUAUAUCUUCAUUUUUUUAAUAAUUAAUACAUUUAAAUCACAUUAAUAUAAAAAUAAUUGAAUAAUUUAUUUUUUAAAAUUUUAAAGAUUUUUUUUAAGUAUUGGAGAAGAGAUUCAAACCUGGAUCUAUUGUCAGAUCGUAAAUAUAUUUAUCACUAAACUACGUCUUAAUGUGCAAAAAAAAAUUUUUGUUUUGUAAGAACCUAGAAUAGUUAAUCACCUCUGACGUUACACGUAAAGCUUUUGAGCUCUCUUGCAAGUAACAAUAAAAUAAAGGUAUCAUGAAACUUCCUCGUAAAAAAUCUCAAUAAAAAAAUUAACGUACUAAUUAAAUAUUAUAUCUAUAAAAUUAUUUUAUUGAGAAUUUGAUAAUUAUAAAAGUAGAUUGCUUUAACACUAAAUGAAAAUUUAAAAAAAUAUAAAAAUUAUUAUUUCAAAAUUAUAUUAACCACGCAUCAAAUUAAUAUUCUAUUUGAAAAGACCGUUGUUAAUUGAAAAGUUGUAUAAUAUUAUAAAAUCCCUAAUUUUAUAAGCAUAAUAAUUUCCCUUGAAAUUUUAGGUGCCAUAAAUUUUUUUUCAAACAAUAGAGGGAGAAAUUUAUAUUACAUGUUGUCAAAAUUCAAAGGCAAUGAUGUAUGUAUAUGGUUAAUCAUCACUUUAUCAUAAAAUGGAGAAUAAAAGAAUCAUAUAUAUAACAUAUUACACAGUAAUACUUUUAUUAAAAAAUUAAAAAAAUAGUAAAAUAAAAAUAAAAAUGAGGAGAACAACAUAUUAUUUUUAAGUAAAAGUAUCAUCCCAUUAUUCUGCAACAAGUAACAUUUAAAAUUUUGACCAGAAUUAAAAUAUUAUUUUUAUUAAUUAUAAUAUUCAGUAAUAUAAUAUUUAUAAUAAUAAAUUAGACGUAUAUAGCAAUUAAUUGAACUUUUUUAAAUUAUUUUAUAUUUAAUAGUUAAUUAAAUAAUUAUUUUUAUUAAAUAUUCUUAUUUUAAACUAUUUUGUAUAAAUAAUUAACUACAAAUAACUAAUAUUUAAUAUAAUUAACAGCUAAAAAAACAAUUAAGUGAUAACUAAUUGAAUAGCCAACAACAAUAACUAAUAUCAAUUAACACGUCAUGGUUUUAUACGGUAAUUAUGGAAAAGUAAAGUUUAUUACUUUUCAUAAUACUAAUUAUUUAUAAUAAGUAAGGUGGUCUGUCUCUAUCGCUACAAGAAAAAAAGAUAAGGCUCCAUCAACAAAAUAACAAAAGAACGUCAAAUGAGAGGAAAGAAAAAUGCCAAACGAAAGGUUGUUGGAAAGCUACUCUUUUAUUGAUUUUUUUUAUAUUUCAUCAGAAGUUUUUAGAUUACAAUAACGAAGUUAUUGGUCUAACUAUGAAUGAUUAAUGCACGAAAAUAUCAAUUUCGUUAACGAUAGGUGGUUGGAUAAGAAAAGGUGGAUAACAUGUCUGUAAGCUUCGUCUAUGACAUUAAGGCCUUGUUGACAAUAAUUUUUUAAUUAGCUUUCAAUAUUUUUAUCGGUUAAAACGCUAAAAAUAGUGUUCAAUAACAUAAUAUUUAAAUUAAUUUUUAGAAGUUAAGAUAAUGUUUUAUUAAAAAUUAACCCAUAUAAUAUUUAGCUUUUUUCAUUUUAUAAAAACUAUUUAAAUGACUAACAACUGAACACUGUUAUAACAACUAUCAAAACAACAAAUUUUACCGAAUAGAUCCUAAGUUUUAAAAUGGAUCAAAUGUAAAAGCUACUAAUUGAGAAUCAGAAAAACUUAAACCAAUAGAAUUGGUUUAAAUGAAAAUCACUCAAGUCAUUUAAGUAAGAAGUCUAAGGCUGUAUUUGACAAAAAGUUUUUUAGGUAACUUUUAGCGUUUUGUCUGGUUAAAAUGUUACUAUUUAAAAAAUUUUUCAGUAACAUAAUGUUUGGAUUAGACUUUAGAAGUUAUGGUAGCGUUUUGUGAAAAUUUAACUCAUGGCGUUUCAUUAAAAAAAAUACAAAAACAGCUAACAGCUAAACGCUACUAAAACAGCUAAUAAAUAACAAAACAGCUAAACGCUACUAAAACAGUUGAUAGAUAACAAAAUAGUUAAUUUUGUCGAACAAACUCUAAGUGCUCCUUCAUGAAGAAAAUUUUCAUUGUGACAAAGUAAUUUAAUUAACAAUAAAGGUUGAAUUUUCUACACCUAAAAUUUUCUACACCUAACUAUGUAUAUUGCUUCUAUGUUUUUGUACGCCUUAAUGAAGGAAAACCUUCUCUUUUUUAUAGGAGAAGGGGACGCGGUGGACGCGCGUUAAUCACGCGUCUACUUCUCUUUUUUUUUUUUCUUUUCAAAUGUGUGUGGGUCUUAUAUGUUGGAGGGACCCUACAACAACAUUAAGGAAGUCUAUUGGCUCGAGAUAAUUUUUCCUGAUUUUUGUAAUUCUAAAUAAAAUUUUGUUGCUGAAAAGAAAAAAUGAUAAAAAAGAUAACCUCACAAAGAUAUGGAGACGGGCGUGGGUUCCCCAAAUUUCAACUCAGCUUCUUCCAACUUCCAUAAAAGCAUGGGAGGUCUCGGUGGCUCCCUAUUAUUUGUGUUAGUACAAUUAUAUACUCCCUCCCCUAAAAAGAUAAAUUUAUCUCAUAUUGAAAAUAUAUAAGAUCACAAAACCUAUAUCAUUUUAUAUAGGUAACCCUAAUUCAUAUAAACUCAAAUUAUUGAAUGAAUUAUUAAUUGAAUUUGAUAAAUUACCCUUAGGGCGCAAAUUUAACAAUUUAUGUAUAUUUUAGCAAAUUUUUUUGUCGAAAUAUUAAAAUGAAUAAUUUUAAUUCAUACAUAAGUUGCGGUCCACUAAUAAAUUCAUAGAGCCAACACAUGAAUAAUUGAAAUCAUUAUAAUAUUUAUAUUUCAACCAAAUUUUAGCUUUGAUAUUACUACUAUUAGAAUAUGUUUAUAAUUUGUGAAACCUAUUUUAAAUUAAUUUUGCUGAAUUUUUGAAGAAUUUAUUUAACUCAUAGAGUCAUUUUGAAUCUGUAUUCAAUCUAAUCGUUACAUUCUCAAUAAAACACCAUCUAUCAUGUUUUACAGCUGCAACAGAGACAAAAUCUAUAUAUACGCCAUGUAACUAUGGUAGAAACAUUCUCAAUAGAGACGCCUACAGAGAGUAACACCGUCGCCAAUAGAAACUUGCGAGAUCUCUACACGUUGAUCCCGAGACAGGUACUCAUUGAGUUCCUGUGUAGCCUUUGUCAGGGGCCUGAAAGGCUCUGGAACUUCAUUUUCUUCUUGAGCUACGAAUCCAAACCACAAGGUGUUAUCGUAAGCAAUUAUUCCUCCAACCUUAACUAAUUUCAACAAUGGCUCAUGGUAAUUUUUGUAAUUGUGCUUAUCAGCAUCGACAAAUGCAAUGUCAAAUUCUUCUCUCUCCUUUUCC